rnacentral:lncRNA from 1 species
GACAGUGUGCAUGCCUGACGGGCUGGCUUCCCGAGGCCUCCCCAAGGCUGGGCCUGGAAGCCGAUAGUGCUGGCUGCUCAGCUUUCUGUUCACGAGGCAAAUACUUAUGCAGCAGGUGUCAGGUGCUGGGGAUACAGCAAGGACAGCGUGGCCCGGCCCUGCCCCCGUGCAGCCUGUGGCCCAGGGCAGGAGACCACCAAUACACAGACAACCAGAUCACAGAUGGACGCCAGGCAGAGCAGCGGAGUGAAGAGGACUCGGCAGAGCCCAGCGACACCGGGCCAGGACAGGCCUGCAGCCCUCGGGAGAGCUGUGUCCGCCACGGUGGUGCAGCUGAGUGGCUGAUUUCAGCAUCUUUAAACAAAGCCUCCAGAUGGACCUCAGCUGCCGGGGAAGGCUGGACGGCUGCUCUGCUGGCACGCAGGGAUUUUCCGCUAAUUGGAUCCCCAGGGAAGGAGAAGAGCCACCAUCCUCAGCCAACCACCCAUCCGUCUAUCCAUCCAUCCAUCCACCCAUUCACUGAGAACCUGCAAGAUCAACACUCGAUUCCUACAGGAAUAGGAAGAAUGCUACAAUCCCAGCAACGAAGGAACAACCUCAGCUACACCGACUCUUUUCCAUGCUCAUUCUGACUUCUUUUUUACCCAAAUGGGUUCAUAGGACUCAGACUAUUUUCAAGCUGCUUUUUUUCACUCAACAGCAAAUGGCACUCAUCGUCCCAUGUAAGCAAACAGCUCUGCGGUUCUCUUUGGGGCCUGACAAGCAUGCUGCUGUGCUCUCCUGCUGCGGCGGAUUUAACCACUCCCUAUUGGGAUCCAGAUUGUUGCCAACUUUUAGUUAUUACAAGCUGCACUGCAGGGAAAUUCCAUGAAGCUAGGUCUUGGCACACGUCCUUUAUUCUGUCCUUAGGGCAUUUUCCGAGAAGUGGAAUUCCUAGGUCAGAGGGUGUGUACUUUUUUUUUUUGGCUGCACAUUUUUAAACUGUUUGAGAUGUAUUUGUGUGUGUGCGUUUCUGCAGGGUAUCUGUGGACCUGUGCCCAUAGGUUCACGCAGCCACCCAAGCAAAUCGUUG